UACGGGGGGAGCAAGCGUUGUUCGGAUUUACUGGGCGUAAAGGGCGCGUAGGCGGCGCAACAAGUCACUUGUGAAAUCUCCGGGCUUAACCCGGAGCGGCCAAGUGAUACUGUCGUGCUAGAGUGCGGAAGGGGCUACUGGAAUUCUCGGUGUAGCGGUGAAAUGCGUAGAUAUCGAGAGGAACACCUGCGGCGAAGGCGGGUAGCUGGGCCGACACGUGACGCUGAGGCGCGAAAGCGUGGGGAGCAAAUAGG
rnacentral:rRNA from 1 species